UACGGGGGGGGGCAAGCGUUGUUCGGAAUUACUGGGCGUAAAGGGCUCGUAGGCGGCCAACUAAGUCACACGUGAAAUCCCCAGGCUUAACCUGGGAACUGCGUGUGAUACUGGAUGGCUUGAAUUCGGGAGAGGGAUGCAGAAUUCCAGGUGUAGCGGUGAAAUGCGUAGAUAUCUGGAGGAAUACCGGUGGCGAAGGCGGCAUCCUGGACCGACAUUGACUGCUGAACGGC
rnacentral:rRNA from 1 species